rnacentral:rRNA from 1 species
CCUACGGGUGGCAGCAGUCGAGAAUCAUUCACAAUGGGGGCAACCCUGAUGGUGCGACGCCGCGUGGGGGAAUGAAGGUCUUCGGAUUGUAAACCCCUGUCAUGGGGGGGCAAACUAAAAAGAUAGUACCACAAGAGGAAGAGGCUGCUAACUCGGUGCCAGCAGCCGCGGUACUACAGAGGACGCAAGCGUUGUUCGGAAUCACUGGGCGUAAAGCGUACGUAGGCUGUUUCGUAAGUCGUGUGUGAAAAGUGCGGGCUCAACCCGCGGACUGCACAUGAUACUGAGAGACUAGAGUAAUGGAGGGGGAACCGGAAUUCUCGGUGUAGCAGUGAAAUGCGUAGAGAUCGAGAGGAACAC